AAUCAACGCUGGCGGCGUGCCUCAGACAUGCAAGUCGAACGCGAAAGCUCCCUUCGGGGAGCAAGUAGAGUGGCGCACGGGUGAGUAACACGUAGGUAAUCUACCUUUGGAUGGGGAAUAACAACCGGAAACGGUUGCUAAUACCGCAUAAUGCAGCGGCACCUAAUGGUGACAGUUGUUAAAGCGGGGGAUCGCAAGACCUCGCGUCUGAAGAGGAGCCUGCGGCGGAUUAGCUAGUUGGUAAGGUAACGGCUUACCAAGGCGAUGAUCCGUAGCCGGCCUGAGAGGGCGGUCGGCCACACUGACACUGACAUACGGGUCAGACUCCUACGGGAGGCAGCAGACGGGAAUUUUGGGCAAUGGGCGAAAGCCUGACCCAGCAACGCCGCGUGAAGGAUGAAAUCCCUCGGGAUGUAAACUUCGCAAGAACGGGAAGAAUAAGUAAGAGCUAACAUCUCUUACGAUGACGGUACUGUUUGUAAGCUCCGGCUAACUCCGUGCCAGC
rnacentral:rRNA from 1 species